rnacentral:rRNA from 1 species
CCUACGGGCGGCAGCAGUGAGGAAUAUUGGUCAAUGGACGAGAGUCUGAACCAGCCAAGCAGCGUGAAGGAUGACUGCACAAUGUGUUGUAAACCUCUUUUAUAUGGGAAUAAAACAGGGUAUGCAUACCCUCUUGUAUGUACCAUAUGAAUAAGGAUCGGCUAACUCCGUGCCAGCAGCCGCGGUAAUACGGAGGAUACGAGCGUUAUCCGGAUUUAUUGGGUUUAAAGGGAGCGCAGGUGGAUUGUUAAGUCAGUUGUUAAAGGUUGCGGCUCAACCGUAAAAUUGCAGUUGAAACUGGCAGUCUUGAGUACAGUAGAGGUGUGCGGAAUGCGCGGUGUAGCGGUGAAAUGCUUAGAUAUCGCGAAGAACUCCGAUUGCGAAGGCAGCUCGCUGGACUGCAACUGACACUGAGGCUCGAAAGUGUGGGUAUCAAACAGGAUUAGAUACCCGUGUAGUC